CCUACGGGAGGCAGCAGUAGGGAAUCUUUCACAAUGGGCGAAAGCCUGAUGGAGCAACGCCGCGUGCAGGAUGAAGGCCUUCGGGUUGUAAACUGCUUUUAUAAGCGAGAAAUAUGAUGGUAACUUAUGAAUAAGGAUCGGCUAACUACGUGCCAGCAGCCGCGGUCAUACGUAGGAUCCGAGCAUUAUCCGGAGUGACUGGGUGUAAAGAGUUGCGUAGGUGGCAUAAUAAGUAGCUAGUGAAAUCUGGUGGCUAAACCAUUCAGACUAUUAGCUAAACUGUUAAGCUCGAGACCGUUAGGGGUAACUGGAAUUUCUAGUGUAGGAGUGAAAUCCGUAGAUAUUAGAAGGAACACCAAUAGCGUAGGCAGGUUGCUGGGACGGUUCUGACACUAAGGCACGAAAGCGUAGGGAGCAAACGGGAUUAGAUACCCCAGUAGUC
rnacentral:rRNA from 1 species